rnacentral:rRNA from 1 species
UACAGAGGUCUCAAGCGUUGUUCGGAUUCAUUGGGCGUAAAGGGUGUGUAGGUGGCGCGCUAAGUCGGGUGUGAAAUUUCGGAGCUUAACUCCGAAACUGCAUUCGAUACUGCCGUGCUUGAGGACUGGAGAGGAGACUGGAAUUUACGGUGUAGCGGUGAAAUGCGUAGAUAUCGUAAGGAAGACCAGUGGCGAAGGCGGGUCUCUGGACAGUUCCUGACGCUGAGGCACGAAGGCCAGGGGAGCAAACAGG